UGCAGGCGCAGCGUACUAUGCAAGUCGUACGAGGUCUUCGGACUUAAUGGCGGACGGGUGAGUAACACGUGGGCUCUACCUUUAGGUUCGGAAUAACUCAGGGAAACUUGUGCUAAUACCGAAUGUGCCCUUCGGGGGAAAGAUUUAUCGCCUUUAGAGCGGCCCGCGUCUGAUUAGCUAGUUGGUGAGGUAAAGGCUCACCAAGGCGACGAUCACUAGCUGGUCUGAGAGGAUGAUCAGCCACAUUGGGACUGAGACACGGCCCAAACUCAGACGGGAGGCAGCAGUGGGGAAUCUUGCGCCAUGGGCGAAGGCCUGACCUGCCCAUGCCGCGUGAAUGAGCAAGGUCUUAAGAUUGACAAAUCCCCUCCCCGGGCACUACAAUGACGGGACCCGGACAAGAAGCCCCGGCUGCCUUCUUGCCAGCAGCAGCCGCUGUACUUAGGACGGUACACUAAUUCCUCUUAAAUACUGGUCUUAAUGUUACCGAAGCUAACAUUUAAUUUUGGGGAGCGAUCCGCUCGCCCAACCACUUAAUUGCCUUUGAUCCUGGGUGUCUUGAGUGUGAGUGAGAUAUGUGGAUGUCCGACUGUAGAGGUUAAAUGCUUAUAUAUUCAGAAGAACGCCAGUGGCCAAUGCGAAUACUGGUUCAUUAGUGACGCUGAGACUCGAAAUCGUGGAAGCAUAACGGAUUAGAUACUCUGGUAUUCGAGCCGUCUACGAUGAUUGCAAGUUUCGGAUGCAUGCGUUUAGAUGAUGUUGCUCACACAUUAAUCAAUCACCUGGGGAGUCUGUAUAGAUCAAAACUCUAAUGAAUUGACGGAUGCCUCACUAGCGGUGGAGCCUGGGGUUGAUUCGAAGCAACGCGCAGAACCUUACCACCUUUUGACAUGCCCGGACCGCCACAGAGAUGUGGCUUUCUCUUCGGAGACUGGGACACAGGUGCUGCAUGGCUGUCGUCAGCUCGUGUCGUGAGAUGUUGGGUUAAGUCCCGCAACGAGCGCAACCCUCGCCAUUAGUUGCCAUCAUUCAGUUGGGAACUCUAAUGGGACUGCCGGUGCUAAGCCGGAGGAAGGUGGGGAUGACGUCAAGUCCUCAUGGCCCUUACAGGGUGGGCUACACACGUGCUACAAUGGCGACUACAGAGGGUUAAUCCUUAAAAGUCGUCUCAGUUCGGAUUGUCCUCUGCAACUCGAGGGCAUGAAGUUGGAAUCGCUAGUAAUCGCGGAUCAGCAUGCCGCGGUGAAUACGUUCCCGGGCCUUGUACACACCGCCCGUCACACCAUGGGAGUUGGUUCUACCCGAAGGCGCUGCGCUGACCGCAAGGAGGCAGGCGACCACGGUAGUCAGGAUUUGG
rnacentral:rRNA from 1 species